GCCCAGGAUUGAAGGUGCUGGCGCCCUCCCGGGGCGGGGUGAUCCCCGAAAGGAGAGAGAGGAGGGCGUCUGUGCUUUAGAGAAACUGGUGAGCUGGAGGUGACUUGAACACGUCUGAAUAGUUUGCCUCCUUUCGUAUUGCACUGUGGACCCGUCCAGGCAAUAAGGGACCCACCUGCCUACACAGGCCUAACAAGUGCCUUAAAUCGGUGAUGCAGGCUGCUUGCCUACUCCAGACCUUUGUAGCUCCAGCCAGAGACUAUUCCAGAACAAUGAACGUGGAUACUGAAAACCCAGUGGAACUGGAAAUAUGAUACUUCAGCUGAGUUACAAUUCUGCAGAGAAGCAAGGCACUAGGUGCGUUCUUCCUCCUGACCUUCAGUGGAUGGAGUUUCAGUCUGAAAACUCGCUCAGAUCCCCAGACUGGGCAAGGGAUCAUGGCUGGUUAUCGGGGCCACCUGAUUACCCAUCCUUGAAGUACAUCGAUUGUAUAGCUUGAGGAACACAUUUGUUGGUUAUUGCUGUCUCCUCAGGGGCGCCUUGCUCUGGGAACCAUCCAGGUGAUCCCACACCCUCUGAUUUUCCUAGCCUAACUGCAUUCACUUGGUUUCUGACUGGUGCUCUGACUGCCUCCUGGUCUCUAUUUUAGGGUCCUGUGAGCUCCAUAGUAUUUGAAUGCAUGAUACAUUGAUACAUUGAACAGCUCGUCUCUACUGUUAGACCACCGUGGUUGUCCUCUGGUGGAAGUUUUGCAACUUGUGUGUUCAGGAACUGCGACUCUGUGAUGGUAGCUCCUUUGUACCCCAUCCACCACCAGUGCUCAAGUCUUUACUGCCAGCCCAGUUGGUGAUCAAGCUCCAAGAUGCCACCUUUGUCCUGUCUCUCAGGCCCAUCUACUACCAGGACUCCAGGGAGGCAGUCUCUGAGAUGGAGCGCAGCCUGCGGGGGGGGG